rnacentral:rRNA from 1 species
GCUUAGAAUUUGAUCAUGGCUCAGGACGAACGCUGGCGGCGUGCCUAAUACAUGCAAGUCGAACGCACCGAAGCUUGCUUUGGUGAGUGGCGGACGGGUGAGUAACACGUGGGUAACCUGCCUAUCAGAGGGGGAUAACACUUGGAAACAGGUGCUAAUACCGCAUAGAUUUUUUUCGCAUGAACGAAGAGGAAAGACGUUCGUGUCACUGAUAGAUGGACCCGCGGUGCAUUAGCUAGAUGGUGAGGUAACGGCUCACCAUGGCCAUGAUGCAUAGCCGACCUGAGAGGGUGAUCGGCCACACUGGGACUGAGACACGGCCCAGACUCCUACGGGAGGCAGCAGUAGGGAAUCUUCGGCAAUGGACGAAAGUCUGACCGAGCAACGCCGCGUGAGUGAAGAAGGUUUUCGGAUCGUAAAACUCUGUUGUUAGAGAAGAACGAGUGGGAGGUAAUUCCUGCUGUGACGGUAUCUAACCAGAAAGCCACGGCUAACUACGUGCCAGCAGCCGCGGUAAUACGUAGGUGGCAAGCGUUGUCCGGAUUUAUUGGGCGUAAAGCGAGCGCAGCGGUUUCUUAAGUCUGAUGUGAAAGCCCCCGGCUUACCGGGGAGGGUCAUUGGAAACUGGGGGACUUGAGUGCAG